GUUCUUAGCCCUCUGGCAAGAUCUGACAUUGCAGCCUGGAGUCCUGUAGCCGGGGAAGUGAAUUAGAGACAAGUCAUCGCACACUGGAGGUAUUGUCCCCAAGGUAUCAUUUCACACUCUCCAUCUUGAAGACGUGUUCCCUGGCUCAGAGAGCCCAACCUAUGAUGUACAAUCCACAUGGCUAAUGUUUCUCCGGCAUUGGUGAAUUUGGUCAGGCAUGAUGCUCGUGCAGACAUGAUGUCAUUUCACCGUCAAUUCCCCGUGACCUGGGCUCUUAAGUGCAUCUUAUGGAUGAGAAUUCCAAGACUCAGUGACUCAGAGAAUCAAGGAUGCAAACUUAGAAUUAUAAACGCUACUCUGUGGAUACCAAAUCCCAGGCUACAUAAAUAUGUCUUCCGUCUCCUGGCAUGCUAAAACAGACACACGGGACUGUUCACAAACUUGCUGUAUGUAAACUUAGACUUCUCUGAAUAGCAUUUCUGUGAAGUGUCCAUAUGCACGCCUUGAAUGUAUUUUCAGAUGACUAUACACUGUAUAUUCUCCUGUGCCUUCAUA